CCCAGACAGCCAGGAUGUUGGCUUAGAAGCAGCCAUCAUUUAAAGAAAGCGUAAUAGCUCACUGGUCGAGUCGGCCUGCGCGGAAGAUGUAACGGGGCUAAACCAUGCACCGAAGCUGCGGCAGCGACGCUGAUGCGUUGUUGGGUAGGGGAGCGUUCUGUAAGCCUGUGAAGGUGUGUCGUGAGGCAUGCUGGAGGUAUCAGAAGUGCGAAUGCUGACAUAAGUAACGAUAAAGCGGGUGAAAAGCCCGCUCGCCGGAAGACCAAGGGUUCCUGUCCAACGUUAAUCGGGGCAGGGUGAGUCGACCCCUAAGGCGAGGCCGAAAGGCGUAGUCGAUGGGAAACGGGUUAAUAUUCCCGUACUUGGUGUUACUGCGAAGGGGGGACGGAGAAGGCUAUGUUGGCCGGGCGACGGUUGUCCCGGUUUAAGCGUGUAGGUGUGUGUUCCAGGUAAAUCCGGUUCACUUUAACACUGAGGCGUGACGACGAGGCACUACGGUGCUGAAGCAACAAAUGCCCUGCUUCCAGGAAAAGCCUCUAAGCAUCAGGUAACACGAAAUCGUACCCCAAACCGACACAGGUGGUCAGGUAGAGAAUACCAAGGCGCUUGAGAGAACUCGGGUGAAGGAACUAGGCAAAAUGGUGCCGUAACUUCGGGAGAAGGCACGCUGACACGUAGGUGAAGUGAUUUACUCAUGGAGCUGAAGUCAGUCGAAGAUACCAGCUGGCUGCAACUGUUUAUUAAAAACACAGCACUGUGCAAACACGAAAGUGGACGUAUACGGUGUGACGCCUGCCCGGUGCCGGAAGGUUAAUUGAUGGGGUCAGCGUAAGCGAAGCUCCUGAUCGAAGCCCCGGUAAACGGCGGCCGUAACUAUAACGGUCCUAAGGUAGCGAAAUUCCUUGUCGGGUAAGUUCCGACCUGCACGAAUGGCGUAAUGAUGGCCAGGCUGUCUCC
rnacentral:rRNA from 1 species